AGGGUUUGAUCUUGGCUCAGAACGAACGCUGGCGGCGUGGUUUAGGCAUGCAAGUCGAACGAGGAUAUAUCCUUCGGGAUAUAAGCCGAGUGGCGAAAGGGUGAGUAAUGCACAGACAACCUGCCUUUAGGAUAAGAAUAACUCUGUGAAAGCGGAGCUAAUACUUAAUAAUACAAAGGAAAGGUUCUUUUCUUUGUCAAAGAAGGGUAUGUAUAAUACCUUGCGCCUAAAGAGGGGUUUAUGUCCUAUCAGCUUGUUGGUAGGGUAACGGCCUACCAAGGCGAAGACGGGUAGCCGGCCUUAGAGGGUGGUCGGCCACACUGGAACUGAGACACUGUCCAGACUUCUACGGAAGGCUGCAGUCGAGAAUCUUUCGCAAUGCCCGAAAGGGUGACGAAGCGACGCCGCGUGGAUGAAGAAGGCCUUCGGGUUGUAAAAUCCUGUCAGGAGUUAAGAAAUGUAAGUUUGCGAAUACCAAAUUUACUUGACAAAGGCUCCAAAGGAAGCCACGGCUAACUCUGUGCCAGCAGCCGCGGUAAUACAGAGGUGGCGAGCGUUGUUCGGAAUUAUUGGGCGUAAAGAGCACGUAGGUGGAUUUGUAAGUCAGAUGUGAAAGCCUUCUGUUCAACGGAAGAAUUGCGUCUGAAACUACAAACCUUGAGUAUAGGAGGGGAGAGUGGAACUUCUGGUGGAGCGGUGAAAUGCGUAGAUAUCAGAAGGAACGCCGGCGGCGAAAGCGACUCUCUGGCCUAUAACUGACACUGAGUGUGCGAAAGCUAGGGGAGCAAACGGGAUUAGAUACCCCGGUAGUCCUAGCCGUAAACGAUGGGCACUAAGUAGGGGAAACUACCGAUGUUUUCUCUGCCGUAGCAAACGCAUUAAGUGCCCCGCCUGGGGAGUACGGCCGCAAGGCUAAAACUCAAAAGAAUUGACGGGGGCUCGCACAAGCGGUGGAGCAUGUGGCUUAAUUCGAUGCAACGCGAAAAACCUUACCGGGGUUUGACAUGAUAGAAGUAGGAACUCGAAAGAGGGACCAACGGUAUCCAGUCCGUAACUAUCACAGGUGUUGCAUGGCUGUCGUCAGCUCGUGUCGUGAGACGU
rnacentral:rRNA from 1 species